UAGUAAAUCCCUAAUGCGUGGGUGACCGAAUUGACGUCAGCAACGAACGUACACCUUUAAUAUGUAUUCUCGCGGUGGUGUUGAGUGGUCGGACCCCCGAAAGUGUGUACGAACGUAACGAUUUUCAACUGUAAUUAUUAGAUACGACGAUGGACGUUUAUACCGUAUUUGUAAUGAAGCGCAACGAAAAGGCUCCGUAGUUGGCCAUUUACUUAACGCAAAUUCUAUUGAGUGCAUCGACUGCGGCGCUAAUGACUAUAAUGACUGGGACUGCCUCUACUAUAUAUCAUUUGUCGAACGAUUUGAUGACUUCGUAAUAUAACGAUCAGCUAUUUUACAUUCCCCGUAUCGAUCGUUUUCGUGGUCAGGUUUCGAUUCCAUAUUGACACUAUACAGUAUCACCUAGAUCAUAUCAUCAUACACAACUAUAUAGAUAAUAUAUAUUUAUAAAUUCUGAGUUCGAGGUGGAGGAUCGUCGAGUUGAAGUAAAUGAACCCCUUGGUUGAAGUCACGGAGUAUAUGCAAUGUGUUACUACCCUUGUGCUAUAUGUAUUUUAUUUACUUGGUUGAAUGCUUACAAACAUAUUUCAUGGUUUACGGUCCGUCAACGCACAAUGUGUAAGCUUUAUUUUGUGUACAGAAUAUAGAGGUAAAUUUAAAUAUUUAAUAUCUUAAAUUAUGAUAUUGUGAAGCGAUAUGGAAUCA